AUCUAGUGCUCGCUGCAUUUGAGAGAGAGAGACACACACACAGUACUACAGCUGCUGUCUAAUGGAUUAUUCAUUAGCAUAAAAUGGGCUUUUAAAAACUAUUUUCAGAGUUUUCCCAUGUUUUCUGGGAUGUAUGUCUGCAGAAAAAUCUCUUAUUGGAUGUAGCUUUAUGUUUACCCACAACAGGAAGCUGAAUGCAUUCUAUCAGUAGAAGGAUCUCGGAAAUUCAUUGGAGAGAUUGUGUAACCAACGUUGAAGUGUUGUGCUGCAUGGGUCAGCAGAUUGUGGACUCGAUUAUACAGAGAUGGUGUGAUGGGAUGUUUGCCCCACACAGGUGAAGAAAGGGUUAACCUCAUUAAGAGCAGUGAAGGUGAGUCCUCCAAAUGGCCCAGAGAGGCUGUGUGAGGUGCAGCCAAUAGGAGGGAGGCUGCAAUUAGCAGCCAAUCACGUCCCAGCAGGCUCACAUAAAAGGAGCUGCAGGGGUAAGGAGUGUGAGGCUGAGAGAAAGCUAGCACCCUGGACAGGUCAGUUGCUGCCAGGGACCAGCAACAAGAGAGAGCUCCUGGUAGGCUGCAGGAAUUGAGUAGCUGAGUGCCCUGAGGUAAGGGUGAAGAAGGUGCUGGGGCCGUGGAGAAGUGGCCCAGGGGAUCAGAGCAGUGGUGAGAGGAACUAGAGGCGCAGCAGGAGGCUGCCAUCUACAGGGUCCCUCCAUGAUAGAUGGAUACAUGGUUUAGCCAUGUCAUCAGGCACCUGAAGCACAAGGUGCCUGGUUGAAAGCCCAUUGAAGUCAAUGGUACGUCCCUGCAACAUCUAGCUACAACAGAAGACUCAGCUACAGGUGAAGUUUCAGCCUACAAGUCAUUUCUUUAAAUAAUGGCGCCCGCUGUAUGGACUCAAGAUGCAGUUGUUCCGGUUUUCUAGGAAUAUUGCACUUUGCAUAGAAUUCUUAUUGUUCAUGAAAGUCCAAUUUCAAUGAUAAUACACAAGACUGACUGAAACCAGUGGUGUGACUGGUCACCUAAGUGUCAUUGUAUUGGUUCGGUUCCCUGACUGGAUGACUGCACUUUUUAAUCAGAAGAUUAAUGAAUAGUGAAUAACCAAUACUGUUGUGCAUUCAUGAAUACCCUUGUUCCCGUGACUACAGGUAUUUGUAUGAAAAUCAGCCAUUUCUCCAAUAGCCAUAGGAACGAAACCUCAUUGAAUGGCAAACAAAAAUGAGCACAAAGUUGAUGGCAGCAAACAACUGUUCUGAAAUUAUAUGAAAGUUCAUGAACUUGGUUUUACCAUAUCUGCCUAACCCUAUUACUAAACACAGCAGCUUAGGCUGGAGCUGUCUCUUUAUAUGUGUUUCUACAGAGCCCUCCAUAAUAGAACCUUUCAUCAUAAGUGCUUUAGGUGCUAUGAUAAUAAUAUCUAUUGUUUAAUAUGUUUUUUCUGCUUAUCAAUUCUGAAUUUAACCAGCCUCAUAACCCAGCUGAGGAGUAAUAUCUGUGUAGUUAAAAUAGAAUUGGAGUGUACAACUGUUAGGGAGGCAGAGUGGUGCUGUGUCAAGGGCUCAGGACUAGGAAUCAGAAGAAUGUGUUCUAUUUUUAGCUCUGUCCCUAAAUUACUAGGAUCCCAUUGCUUGGACCUGCUCACUCAACCUUAGAGCUAGUCAGAAAAACCUCAACAGAACAAUUUUGUUAUUGGAAAAUCAAAACACUGAGUAAAAAUAUAUCGGUUUUGCUGAAAUUUCAUUUUGGAGAAAAAAACUGGGGGUGGGGAGAAGUGAGGGGAGUUCUGACAGUGUCACAACCUCCUGGUUCAACAUUUUCAGAAUGAAACAUUUAUAUUUUUUCCUUUUUUAAUGGCUCUUUGUUUUGAAAUAGUUUAUUUUGUAUUGGUUUUUCACAAUACGAUGCACUUUAAAAAAAAAGUCAAAAUUGAAAUGAAGCAUUUCAAUUGAUUGGAAGCAAAAACAUGUUCAGGAUUGUCUUUCUAGGAACAUUUCAGAAUGUUA